UCCUUGGUGGUCUAGUGGCUGAGACGCUGAGCUCCCAAGGCAGGGGCCAUGGGUUCAACUCCCAGUCAGGGAA
rnacentral:tRNA from 1 species